rnacentral:rRNA from 1 species
AUUGAACGCUGGCGGCAGGCCUAACACAUGCAAGUCGAGCGGGGUUUUCGGACCUAGCGGCGGACGGGUGAGUAAUGCGUAGGAAGCUACCCGACAGAGGGGGAUACCAGUUGGAAACGACUGUUAAUACCGCAUAAUGUCUACGGACCAAAGUGUGGGACCUUCGGGCCACAUGCUGUCGGAUGCGCCUACGUGGGAUUAGCUAGUUGGUGAGGUAAUGGCUCACCAAGGCGACGAUCCCUAGCUGGUUUGAGAGGAUGAUCAGCCACACUGGAACUGAGACACGGUCCAGACUCCUACGGGAGGCAGCAGUGGGGAAUAUUGGACAAUGGGCGCAAGCCUGAUCCAGCCAUGCCGCGUGUGUGAAGAAGGCCUUCGGGUUGUAGAGCACUUUCAGCGAGGAGGAAGGGUUGUGUGUUAAUAGCACAUAGCUUUGACGUUACUCGCAGAAGAAGCACCGGCUAACUCUGUGCCAGCCGCCGCGGUAACAC